rnacentral:misc_RNA from 1 species
AGAAAAUCUCCCAGGGAUUCAAAGAAGACACAGAAUAAUCCAGGUCUCUCUGCUGUUAGGCGCUCUCCCAGGUUAAUGAAGCAUAGCAAGGAGGUACCAAGUGUAAGUUCAACAACAAAAGUGUCAACUCCAAGGAAACAUAUUGUAUCUAAGGGAUUCUCAGCUAAACAAAUUUAUGUGGAUAUUAAUAGUCUACAAGCAAAGCCAGGCUCAGAAACAUGUAGUGGAAAUGGUGGUUUAACCAACAGGGACAGAAAUGCAACCAAAACAAGACAAAAUUGUGGCAAAAGGCUGAAUCAAAAUAAAACUGGAGAUGUCAACUCUUGUAAUAAAUUUAAAAAUCCAGAUGUAGAGCUUGGUGUAAGAUUUAAAGUACCCAGUCCAAAUUCCAGUGUUCAGACUUCAUUUUGUAAGAAAUCCCCAAUGAAUAUCAGCAAUUCUUACAUGAACUCCACCACUUCAAUUCUUAAAACUCCAGACAUUAAUACCUCAACAUCAAUGAAAGCAACACCACCUAUGUGUAAAUGUGGUCGUCGAUCCAAGAGAAGAAUGGUCCAAUCUCCUGGACCGAAUCUUGGACGAUUUUUCUUCUCUUGCUCGGGCGUGAAAUCAACAGACAGAAAUGGGUGUGGUUUCUUCAAGUGGGAAUCUUCCAUUCAGAGCAGUGGCACCUCAAGCCGACAUCAAAGUUUUGUUUCCAAGUACAACUUGUCUAGCCUUUCCAAACCUUUCACCCCUGUGUUUCAGCAGGGAGGUGGAUGUAACAGCUCUGCUCCUCAAAAACGCAGUCUCGGGGUUAGACCCUCUGCAAACAGAAGCUGCAUACGUUGAUAUUUGCCAGUAGUGGCAGUACUGAAUAGCACACGUGUGAAGAUUGUUUGACAUAUUUUCAAAAUGAACAUACUGUAUACUAUACCUGACAUUAUUUUAGCAGGAUAAAUGUGCUUGUUACUUUAGUACGGGGAAUUAAUUAAAAAAAUAAACUGAACAAGGAGUUAUUAUCUGGAAACUGAGGCUGUAUACAGGGAUAUUGUACAGUGAACCUUGCCUAACCAGGACUAUGAAGGUUGCCAGAAAAAGACAUGACAUUUUUUAAAUAUAAAUCAUUUUAAUGACUUUUAUCAAUAUGAAUUGUUAGAUUUUGAAUUGUACUUCAUGUAUUUGAAUUUAUGUUGAUCAACAUUGAACAGUAUUUCUCAAUAAAAUUUCAAAUUU